AGCGAACGCUGGCGGCAGGCUUAACACAUGCAAGUCGAGCGGGCAUCCUUGUGGUGUCAGCGGCAGACGGGUGAGUAACGCGUGGGAACGUGCCCUUCGGUUCGGAAUAACUCAGGGAAACUUGAGCUAAUACCGGAUACGUGCGAGAGCAGAAAGGUUUAUCUGCCGAAGGAUCGGCCCGCGUCUGAUUAGCUAGUUGGUGAGGUUACGGCUCACCAAGGCGACGAUCAGUAGCUGGUCUGAGAGGAUGAUCAGCCACACUGGGACUGAGACACGGCCCAGACUCCUACGGGAGGCAGCAGUGGGGAAUAUUGGACAAUGGGGGCAACCCUGAUCCAGCCAUGCCGCGUGAGUGAUGACGGCCUUAGGGUUGUAAAGCGCUUUUCUCCGGGACGAUAAUGACGGUACCGGAGGAAUAAGCCCCGGCUAACUUCGUG
rnacentral:rRNA from 1 species